rnacentral:rRNA from 1 species
CAGCCGCCGCGGUAAUACCGGCGGCCCGAGUGGCGGUCACUAUUAUUGGGCUUAAAGCGUCCGGAGCCGGGUUGGGAAGUCCUCCGGGAAAUCUGGCCGCUUAACGGUCAGAAUGCCGGAGGAUACUCCCAGCCUAGGGAGCGGGAGAGGCCGAGGGGAUUCCCGGAGUAGGGGUGAAAUCCUAUAAUCCCGGGAGGACCAGCUGUGGCGAAGGCGCUCGGCUGGAACGCGUCCGACGGUGAGGGACGAAGGCCAGGGGAGCAAACCGGAUUAGAUACCCGGGUAGUCCUGGCUGUAAACGAUGCGGACUUUGUGUCGGACAAGCUAUGAGCUUGUCCGGUGCCGGAGGGAAACCGUUAAGUCCGCCGCCUGGGGAGUACGGCCGCAAGGCUGAAACUUAAAGGAAUUGGCGGG